rnacentral:lncRNA from 14 species
UUCUUCAUUACUUACACUUGUCACUUCGAAAACCAAUUUGGAACUGGUUUUAUACAUGCUUUUUCUUCUGCUCUUUCGUAGUGUGAGCUGCUGAAGAAGGAACUGCAGGCACGCGUCAGGCGCUUACUGGAGCAGAUAGAGGAAGAGCAGAAAGAACGAGAUAAGAAGGAGGUUGUAACUAGGGAUGAUGUGGAGAAGUCUCUGAUAGCAACAUGGCAGUAUGUUAAGGACAAAGAACAACUUCUGGAAGAUCUGCACUCCCAAAUUGAAGAAACCAACCAAAAAAUCUCAGUAAAGCAGAGUGAGAAAGAUGAUUGCUUGGAGUACAAAAAUGUAGGAAGUAAAAUAGAAGCUGAGAAGAUUACGAGUCUGGAAAAAGCCAUUCAAGAAGUCAAAGAUGUUUUUCACAGAGCUACAGAAUAUUACAGAAAUUCUUUGAAAGCAAUGAAAGAAGAAAAUACCAGACUGGUUUUGAAGCACAUGGAAUUAGUUAAGGAACAG